rnacentral:lncRNA from 1 species
CGCCCAGAAUCCUAACUAUUGUUUUUCUGUGUGAAACAGCUAACAGUGAUGUUAUUUUAAGAACCAUUGCUAAGCACCUAAAUUAAUGGUUGGUGGUUGCACUCCUUAGAGCUAUCUUGUUCUUUCUAGAGUAUUUUGCAAAUGUAUAGAUAAUUUCACCUCUGCUCCCAAGGAUUCUAAACUGAUCUACUGAGAUUAAAAGCAUUUUUACCAUUUGUUUCA